CAAAGGGCAAAGUACUGACCCUCUCGGCAGAAUUCGGGGAGGCUGAUGCUGUCUGCAACUUAAUCUUAUCCUUAGUUUAUUACUUUUAUAAUUUAAUGCCCCUGUCUCGAGGAUCUAGGUAAGUGAUGUCCUGUACUGUGACAGUCUCAAGUUGGGACUGCUGCUACAGCUUACGUUUGUGUCACAGAGACGGGCUCUAAAGCCCAGUACAGAUCACAUGAAGUCCCCAUUGCUUCCUCUAAAAUCCACACCCUCCCCCCCAAAAUUCCCACUUUUGUUGGGUAUAGUGGCAUGUGCCUUUAAUGCUAACCCUGAGGAGACAGAGGCAGGUGGGUCUCUGAUGAUGCCAGCCUGGUCUACACAGUGAGGCCAUUUCAGGGGGGAAAAAAAUGAAAAGCAGAAAGAUCACAUGCUUGAUCAACCAUCAAGGGAAUUUAAGGUAAAGAAGAGAGGGCUCAUGUGCUCCUCUCACAAGCAGAGAAAAAAGCAGGAAACAAACUCAUGGAAAUACGCCUUUCCUCAGAAAGCAGAUGCUCCUGUCGACAGCCCUCAAGUUCCUUAGGCUUUUUACGUAGGAAA
rnacentral:lncRNA from 1 species